rnacentral:tRNA from 1 species
UUCCACUAUCGUCUAGAUGGUAAGGAUAUCUGGCUUUCACCCAGAAGACCCGGGUUCGAGUCCCGGUAGUGGAA